GAUGAACGCUGGCGGCGUGCCUAAUACAUGCAAGUCGAGCGAACAGACGAGGAGCUUGCUCCUCUGACGUUAGCGGCGGACGCGUGAGUAACACGUCGAUAACCUACCUAUAAGACUGCGAUAACUUCGAGAAACCGGAGCUAAUACCUGAUAAUAUAUCGAACCGCAUGGUUCAAUAGUGAAAGACGCUUUUCCUGUCACUUAUCGAUGGAUCCGCGCCGCAUUAGCUAGUUGGUAAGGUAACGGCUUACCAAGGCAACGAUGCGUAGCCGACCUGAGAGGGUGAUCGGCCACACUGGAACUGAGACACGGUCCAGACUCCUACGGGAGGCAGCAGUAGGGAAUCUUCCGCAAUGGGCGAAAGCUUGACGGAGCAACGCCGCGUGAGUGAGGAAGGUCUUCGGAUCGUAAAACUCUGUUAUUAGGGAAGAACAAAUGUGUAAGUAACUAUGCACGUCUUGACGGUACCUAAUCAGAAAGCCACGGCUAACUACGUG
rnacentral:rRNA from 1 species